ACACUCCUGCGGGAGGCAGCAGUGGGGAAUAUUGGACAAUGGGCGCAAGCCUGAUCCAGCCAUGCCGCGUGAGUGAUGAAGGCCCUAGGGUUGUAAAGCUCUUUCACCGGAGAAGAUAAUGACGGUAUCCGGAGAAGAAGCCCCGGCUAACUUCGUGCCAGCAGCCGCGGUAAUACGAAGGGGGCUAGCGUUGUUCGGAAUUACUGGGCGUAAAGCGCACGUAGGCGGAUCGAUCAGUCAGGGGUGAAAUCCCAGGGCUCAACCCUGGAACUGCCUUUGAUACUGUCGAUCUGGAGUAUGGAAGAGGUGAGUGGAAUUCCGAGUGUAGAGGUGAAAUUCGUAGAUAUUCGGAGGAACACCAGUGGCGAAGGCGGCUCACUGGUCCAUUACUGACGCUGAGGUGCGAAAGCGUGGGGAGCAAACAGGAUUAGAUACCCCAGUAGUCCCAUGA
rnacentral:rRNA from 1 species